rnacentral:rRNA from 1 species
CGCCUUUUGAACUAUAAACAUAAAAGGUCCUGCCUGCCCAGUGAAAUUGUUUCAACGGCCGCGGUAUCAUGACCGUGCAAAGGUAGCGUAAUCACUUGUCUUUUAAAUAAAGACCGGUAUGAAUGGCAAGACGAAAGCCUAACUGUCUCCCCAGGUUUAUCAAUGAAAUUGAUCUUCCCGUGCAGAAGCAGGAAUAACAAUAUAAGACGAGAAGACCCUGCGGAGCUUCAAACUUAAGCUAACAGAUCAAAAUGCCUUAGCACACAGUUUUAGGUUGGGGCGACCAUGAGGUAAAACAUAACCCUCAAGAUGAAAACUAAGAAGGACACUUCAAAUAAAUAACAAUAACGUAAUUGACCCAAUAAUUGAUCAACGAACCAAGUUACCCCAGGGAUAACAGCGCAAUCUACUCAAAGAGCCCUUAUCGACGAGCAGGUUUACGACCUCGAUGUUGGAUCAGGACUCCCAAAUAAUGUAACAAUUAUUAAAGGUUCGUUUGUUCAACGAUUAAAGUCCU